AGAUGGACCCGCGCCGUAUUAGCUAGUUGGUAAGGUAACGGCUUACCAAGGCGACGAUACGUAGCCGACCUGAGAGGGUGAUCGGCCACACUGGAACUGAGACACGGUCCAGACUCCUACGGGAGGCAGCAGUAGGGAAUCUUCCGCAAUGGGCGAAAGCCUGACGGAGCAACGCCGCGUGAGUGAUGAAGGUCUUCGGAUCGUAAAACUCUGUUGUUAGGGAAGAACAAAUUUGUUAGUAACUGAACAAGUCUUGACGGUACCUAACCAGAAAGCCACGGCUAACUACGUGCCAGCAGCCGCGGUAAUACGUAGGUGGCAAGCGUUAUCCGGAAUUAUUGGGCGUAAAGCGCGCGUAGGCGGUUUCUUAAGUCUGAUGUGAAAGCCCACGGCUCAACCGUGGAGGGUCAUUGGAAACUGGGAAACUUGAGUGCAGAAGAGGAGAGUGGAAUUCCAUGUGUAGCGGUGAAAUGCGCAGAGAUAUGGAGGAACACCAGUGGCGAAGGCGGCUCUCUGGUCUGUAACUGACGCUGAUGUGCGAAAGCGUGG
rnacentral:rRNA from 1 species